AGGACGACGCUGGCGGCGUGCCUAAUACAUGCAAGUCGAACGGUCUUUCUAUGGAAGCUUGCUUCCACUGAGAAGAUAGUGGCGAACGGGUGAGUAACACGUGGGUAACCUGCCCAUAAGAGGGGGAUAACAUCCGGAAACGGGUGCUAAUACCGCAUAGUUUUCUUGAUCGCAUGAUCGGGAAGGAAAGACGGCCUUUGUGCUGUCGCUUAUGGAUGGACCCGCGGCGUAUUAGUUAGUUGGUGAGGUAACGGCUCACCAAGACGAUGAUACGUAGCCGACCUGAGAGGGUGAUCGGCCACAUUGGGACUGAGACACGGCCCAAACUCCUACGGGAGGCAGCAGUAGGGAAUCUUCCGCAAUGGACGAAAGUCUGACGGAGCAACGCCGCGUGAGUGAAGAAAGGUUUUCGGAUCGUAAAACUCUGUUGUCAGAGAAGAACAAGUUGGAGAGUAACUGCUCCAGCCUUGACGGUAUCUGACCAGAAAGCCACGGCUAACUACGUGCCAGCCGCCGC
rnacentral:rRNA from 1 species